GUGUUCAAUUUAUAUCAGUUCAACACUUGAAAUUAUUUAUAAAUCGUUGGAUAAACAUCGUUAUGUGCAGGUGCAGAUCUUCCAUGAACGUUGCGUUAGAGGGUUCGUGUGUAUGAAUAACAUAUGGGCGGCAUCAAACAAACGGACUCGCCUUUGGGUUCCGCACGGUACCAAUAUGUCCAGUAGUUCAGUGCAGACCCAACUUGUUGCUUUAUUUCGUCCACCGGAAACAGGGGUCCUAAUGUCAAACAUGAUUGUGCUUAUUUUGUGAUGGACGUCAAGUAAAGGUCUAUGUUUGCUUUCGGUGUUUCAUAUAUAGAUAUGUAAUUAUAGCCUAUAUAUACAUACAUAUAUUCACUGUGAGAGGUUUUAAUGUGAUAUUCUCAGUAUCUAUCCAAGAUUUGUUCAAAGGUGACUACCGUUAACGUGAUGAAACGAUUGUUAUAGGAAGCAAUGUCAGACAGUGGCAGUCCUGUCUUCUGUUAUUACUGUUGAAUCACACUCAGUUCAGUUUGGAACGGAAAUAACCUAUGCUGCCAUUACAAUAUAAAGUGGACUUACGAGUGAAAUGUUCUACAUAUAAUGUUGAAUUAAUUACAUUAUUAAAUAAUAUAUCUAAACAAUCAUAUAUUCCGAUGAAAUAAGGAAUAGAAGUCAGAGAAUGUCACCGCUGGAUGCACUUGGUUGCACGUUUUGUUUGCGAUUUGAUGUAUGGCAACUGUUGUUGACACUGAAAUUAGCAUCACAGCACGUGCUAAACGACCGAGGGUGGACAAAGUAAACAUGUUUUUCCUGCAAAACGUGGCACUGGCAAGUUUCUCUCGGGAGGACUGGACUCGAUGGAAAAGACUGCCGGACGUCUUUCAUCUCGGGAGCGGUGGAAGAAGAGAGAUCAGCGAGGACACGCCUCCGAGUCGACGCCAAUGAGCCCGCCUUGUGAUGCAGUCUCCAUAGCGACUUCGGUUUCCUGGGAUGGAAUGCAUCGUGGAGGCGUUGUCAUGUCAACACACAAUACUCCUCUCCACUUUGCUCCAGACCAAAGGCUCUCUGGAGAACAGGGGAGGCUUGUCCAUAAGGGCGAUUGGGGCGACGCACUGCCUACGGGAAAAGGAGAUAUUUUUUUUCUGUCGGAUUUUACCACUAGACCGCCUGAUCCAUAGACAUACAGUAUAUACAUGUAUAUAUGUCUAUGGUCUGAUCUGCCUCUGAAUGUCAUUGUCCAAUCAGGCAACAGUCAGGCAAAAGUCGUGCUUCAAAUGGCCCCGCCUCUUUUUUGGGCGAUUUGGGGCGAAAUGGAAAUCGCCCCAGACCUCUCUCACUGACUCUCAUGUUAAAUCAAUUUUUUUCUCAAAACAGGGCUUUCAAUGCAUUCUCUAUGGCUUCCGGGAGGGCUCGCCCCUCCAUGCUUUCGUCAUACGUAAUAGGACGUAUAAGUGUAUAAGAACGUCAUACGGCUUCGGUCAAGGCAUAUUCUGUCAAGAUGGCUAACGUUCAGUGCAACAACUCGAUUCGCUCUUUGAAGAAACUCCUUUUUAGUCGGCGUACUAAUGAAGAUAAAUUGACAACAAAAUAAUUAGGACUUCCUAGACAAAAUGUAUCCAUUCAACAGGUUUCUACAAAAGGGGGGAAAUCCUACAUCCAAGAAUUGGAAUGAAAGAAAAUUGUGGCUAGCAGGCUGUGAAGUGGCUAACGCGGUCUGUAUGUCUAUAUACCACUGUCACUUUUCAUAGGUUUCACAGUGUGAAUGUUCUCUUCUUGCACUAACACUGAGUUAUUUUCUAUGUGAUGACUUAUUUUGCUUUUGUAAGCCAAUACUUUCAAGAUCACUCAAUAAAUAUUGUUGGUUUUUAUUUAUAUGUUGCCCC
ensembl:lncRNA